GCCUACGGGAGGCAGCAGUCGGGAAUUUUGGGCAAUGGGGGAAACCCUGACCCAGCAACGCCGCGUGAAGGAUGAAGUACUUCGGUAUGUAAACUUCGAAAGAAUAGGAAGAAUUAAUGACGGUACUAUUUAUAAGGUCCGGCUAACUACGUGCCAGCAGCCGCGGUAAU
rnacentral:rRNA from 1 species